rnacentral:rRNA from 1 species
AGCAGAGGAAAAGGAACAAACAUGGAUUCCCCCAGUAACUGCGAGUGAAAAGGGAUAAGCCCAGCGCUAAAGGUUUCCGUCUGUUUGGGCGGCGACCGGUGUAGCGUAUAGAACUUUCGUUUGAUAACUAUUGGCUGGUCUAAGUUUUGCUGGAAAGCGGCGGCAUAGACGGUUUUACCCCUGUAGGGUCGGCUGUAGUUGUUAAGUGGUUGUUCUGGGAGUCGGGUUGUUUGGUAACGCAGCCCAAAGCGGGUGGUAAACUUCACCUAAGGCUAAAUAUGACCGCGAAUCCGAUAGAAAACAAGUACCGUGAGGGAAAGUUGAAAAGUACUUUGAAAAGAGAGUGCAAGAGAACGUGAAACCGGUGUAAUGGAAGCAGAUGGAGUUGACGUAUCUGGUGCGUAUUCAGUUGUUGGUUGUUGCAAUUGCUGCAUUUGUUAUUCCGCAAGGUUGACGGUGUGGUAUUGUUGUGAUUUCUGGUGAUGCAUUUACGUACGGAGUGCGCCGAGUUGUGUGGCGGUGCCGAUCUAAGCAGAUUAAGAGGACAUGGCUUCGGUUGUGAAACCUUGGUUUGUGGAGGUUGGAUGCUGCUGCAUAGCUUUGUAGAGGUACGGGUUUUUCGCGGAUGCGGAUGUCGGUUCGUUUAGCUUGUGUUGCACGCAUGCGUGCUGCGCUUGAUGAGCGGGUCGGUGUUUGUAUUUGCUCUGUAUCCUUCUCGGUGUAUAGUCAAUGACCCAUUUGACCCGUCUUGAAACACGGACCAAGGAGUUUAUGGUAUACGCGAGUCAUUGGGCUUKGAAACCCAAAGGCGUAAUGAAAGUGAGACCUUACUGGUUUUAAUGCGAUCGGUUGUUGUUUCGACGGCCGCCGAGCAGCAUUGCCCCGUUUCGAGGACUUGUCCUGUUGCGGAGGUUGAGCGUAUGCUAUGAGACCCGAAAGAUGGUGAACUAUGCCUGAACAGGAUGAAGCCAGAGGAAACUCUGGUGGAAGUCCGAAGCGGUUCUGACGUGCAAAUCGAUCGUCUGAUUUUGGUAUAGGGGCGCAAGACUAAUCGAACCAUCUAGUAGCUGGUUUCCUCCGAAGU